rnacentral:rRNA from 1 species
AUGAACGCUGGCGGCGUGCCUAAUACAUGCAAGUCGAGCGAACAGACGAGGAGCUUGCUCCUCUGACGUUAGCGGCGGACGGGUGAGUAACACGUGGAUAACCUACCUAUAAGACUGGGAUAACUUCGGGAAACCGGAGCUAAUACCGGAUAAUAUAUUGAACCGCAUGGUUCAAUAGUGAAAGACGGUUUUGCUGUCACUUAUAGAUGGAUCCGCGCCGCAUUAGCUAGUUGGUAAGGUAACGGCUUACCAAGGCAACGAUGCGUAGCCGACCUGAGAGGGUGAUCGGCCACACUGGAACUGAGACACGGUCCAGACUCCUAGGGAGGCAGCAGUAGGGAAUCUUCCGCAAUGGGCGAAAGCCUGACGGAGCAACGCCGCGUGAGUGAUGAAGGUCUUCGGAUCGUAAAACUCUGUUAUUAGGGAAGAACAAAUGUGUAAGUAACUAUGCACGUCUUGACGGUACCUAAUCAGAAAGCCACGGCUAACUACGUG